GGAGGAAAGUAGGGGAUCGCAAGACCUUGCGCUUUUAGAGCGGCCGAUGUCUGAUUAGCUAGUUGGUGAGGUAAAGGCUUACCAAGGCAUCGAUCAGUAGCUGGUCUGAGAGGACGACCAGCCACACUGGGACUGAGACACGGCCCAGACUCCUACGGGAGGCAGCAGUGGGGAAUUUUGGACAAUGGGGGAAACCCUGAUCCAGCCAUGCCGCGUGAGUGAAGAAGGCCUUCGGGUUGUAAAGCUCUUUCAGCCGGAACGAAACGGUCACGGCUAAUACCUGUGACUACUGACGGUACCGGAAGAAGAAGCACCGGCUAACUACGUGCCAGCAGCCGCGGUAAUACGUAGGGUGCGAGCGUUAAUCGGAAUUACUGGGCGUAAAGCGUGCGCAGGCGGUUUUGUAAGUCAGAUGUGAAAUCCCCGGGCUUAACCUGGGAACUGCGUUUGAAACUACAAAGCUAG
rnacentral:rRNA from 1 species